UACGUAGGUGGCAAGCGUUGUCCGGAUUUACUGGGCGUAAAGGGCGCGUAGGCGGCCACUGCAAGUCGGUUGUGAAAUCUCCGGGCUUAACCCGGAAAGGUCAAUCGAUACUGCAGGGCUAGAGUGCAGAAGGGGCAACUGGAAUUCUCGGUGUAGCGGUGAAAUGUGUAGAGAUCGGGAGGAACACCGGUGGCGAAGGCGGGUCUCUGGGCAAUUCCUGACGCUGAGGCGCGAAAGCGUGGGGAGCAAACGGG
rnacentral:rRNA from 1 species